rnacentral:rRNA from 1 species
AACGAACGCUGGCGGCGUGCCUAACACAUGCAAGUCGAGCGCGAAUGGGAGCAAUCCCUAGUAGAGCGGCGCACGGGUGCGUAACACGUGGGUAAUCUGCCUGGAAGACCGGGACAACCUUCCGAAAGGAUGGCUAAUACCGGAUAAGCCUACGAGGUCCUUGGACCUUGAAGGAAAAGGUGGCCUCUGUAUACAAGCUAUCACUUCCAGAUGAGCCCGCGGCCCAUCAGCUAGUUGGCGGGGUAACGGCCCACCAAGGCAACGACGGGUAGCUGGGCUGAGAGGACGAUCAGCCACACUGGAACUGAGACACGGUCCAGACUCCUACGGGAGGCAGCAGUGGGGAAUUUUGCACAAUGGGCGCAAGCCUGAUGCAGCAACGCCGCGUGUGUGAUGAAGGUCUUCGGAUUGUAAAGCACUUUCGACCGGGACGAAAUAACCCUGGCUAAUAUCCAGGGGACUGACGGUACCGGGAGAAGAAGCACCGGCUAACUCUGUGCCAGCCGCCGCCGUAA